CCAUCCCGAACUCAGAAGUGAAACGAAGUAGCGCCGAUGGUAGUGUGGGGUUUCCCCAUGUGAGAGUAGGACAUCGCCAGGC
rnacentral:rRNA from 1 species